CCCGAGCGUCUCCGGGUCGCGGUCCCUCAGCGCGGCCGGCGGCGCCCUCAGACCGGCGGGCCGGGUCUCGUGUCCGCCCCCCGGUCGCCUCCGCCCCGAGCGCGGCUCCUCAGGCGAGGCUCCCGGACGCGCGGGGGUCGGCGGAAGGCGCGGGCCGGGGGCGCACGCCCCGCAGCGGGGAGCCGAGGCCGAGGCGGCGCGGCCGCGGGGUCCGGCCGGCGCGUUUCCCGCCCGGCUGUGGUCCGAGGCGUCCGCCGGCGGAAGCCCCCCAGCCCUGCUGCUUCGCUCACUUAACUAGGCCGCCAGCUGGAGCGCGUCUGGGGGCGACGGCAGGGCCCCAGGAGGCCGGGCCGGGGCCUGGCGGCCGGACGCACGGACCCCCUCGGGCCCUUCGCGGCCCGGGGCGCGUGACCCCCGCUCCGGUUCCAUCCGGAACCUGCAGAGUCGCGGCGGCAGCGUCGGCCCCGCAAGGAGGGAGGUUGGGGAGGGUUAGACGGGUUAACAGGCAGAGCCCCGCGCUGCUGUGCCGCUGGGAAGUAAGAUGCCCUGUUUCCCGGGGGCUUCAAGGCAGCAAAGAGCCGCUUAGGAUCCGGGGCGAGGGCGUGUGUUCCGUGGAUGAUGGGGUCGCCGCAACAGCGGCCCGUCAGAUGCCACGUCCACCGCGGAGCUGGGGGCGGGUUGCCCUCCCCGGCGAAAGGGACGUUGCAGAGAUGCUGCAGGAUCCUGGCGGAGGGAGAGCCUGGGGUGUCCGGGUGGGCCCGUGGUGAUCCCGAGGUUAAGUGCGGGAGCGGGGCGAGGGGAGGAGCCGUGAGGGUGGAGGCCGUCCGUGUGCCUUCACCGCCCCUAAACCGGAUGCCCCCGAAAAGGCAGCUGCCGGUGCGCCUGCUGCUUUCGGGCCGUGGGGUUUUCCCGCUGGCUGCUUUAUAAGGUGUUCUUCUCGUAGGUUUGAUUUCUGCUCCUGUGCUAUGUAUGUUUGGGAGCGUGUUCCUUUUUAUUUAUGGUGCUUGAGAUACACCGGACCUCCUGAAUGUGUUGAUCAGUGCCUUUCAUGGGUUCUGGGAAAUUUUCAGCCGUUACCUCUUCACAUGCUGCUUCUGCCCCCACUUUCUUCUCUCCUUCUGUAACUCCAAUUAGGUGUCUGUCAGAUCUUUUCCAUCCACUGUUUCUCUUACCUUCUCUUUUUUUAUAUUUUCUAGAUUACUAAUUCUCUCUUCUAUGGUGUUAAACUUAUGUAUUGAGCUAUUUUGGGGGGGGAGAGGGAAUUUUAGGUUCUAGAAUUUCUACUUGAUUCUUUUAAAAAUCUGUUCGAUUCAUUAUUUUUCUUUAAAGAUUGGCACCUGAGCUAACAUCUGUUGCCAAUCUUUUUUUUCCCUUCUUCUCCCCAAAGCUGUCCAGUCCAUAGUUGCAUAUUCUAGUUGUAGGUCCUUCUAGCUGUGCUAUGUGGGACGCUGCCUCAGCAUGGCCUGAUGAGCGGUGCCAUGUCCAAUCCCGGGAUCCGAACUAUCGAAACCCUGGGCCGGCGAAGUGGAGCACUCGAACUUAACCGCUUGGCCCCAGGGCCGGCCCCUAGAUUCAUUUUUAUAAUGGCUAACUCUUUGCCAAAAUUGUCAAUCUUGGCUUUUAUCUCUUUGAAUAUAGUAGGCAUCGUUGGUGUCCAGUCUGGGUCUCUGAUAGGUCCAAUAUCUGGAGUCCCAGUGGGUCUGUUGUAGGUUCUUCGUUCUAGUUAUUUGUUGUGUAUUGUUUAAGCUGGUUCUUGCUCCUGUUGUCACCUGUCUUUGUAUGCUAGACAUUGUAACAGAAACACUUGAAACCCUAGUGAAACAUAUGAUGAUUUCUUUUCCCCACAGAGGAUUUCAUUUUCUUCUGGCCGGUGCCUCAGGAUGCCAACAAACAGGAUCACUCUAAUCCAGAGCGUUGGGCACUUGGGGGGACUGAUUUAGUCUGGUUCACUCCACCUUCCAGGGUGCUGUCCUUCUGAGGACCAGCUGAAAACAGGUUUACCAGAGUCACCACUCUUGACAGGUCCUAGACUCCAUAUUUUGUUCCCUAGAUUGCUUCUGAAUCUGGAAAUGCCCCCAGGGCAAAAGUGCUCUGCAUGUGUGGACCCUGUCCUCUUCUGCUUCUUGGCCAGCUAAUUUCUCACUCACUACCUGGUUAGCUUUUGAUGAUUUAAAAAUGUUGUUACAGGGUACCUCCAUACUUGGCAAUGUUCAAAAAAUGAAAUAUUAUUAUAGAUUACAAAGGAUAACGCGUAAUAAUAAUGACAACAAUGACAAAAAACUCUACCACUUAUUGAGUACCUUCUGCGUACCAGCCUCUUGGUUGGACCUCUUAUAGUCCUUAAUGUAAGUAGAGGAAAGAUUGGAGACUUGGGUUCUUGUCCUGGCUUGACAACUGAUGAGCCAAGUAACUUAGACAAGACCAACCUCAAGUCCUCCAUGAAGAUCCCUCUCAGUUCUUAAAUUCUGUUAUUCAAAUCUACAUAGAAUUGAACGUCCAAGGCGCCUUGGGAGGAACUUGCCGGUGGUAUGUUAAAUGUUGCAGAGGAACUUCCUGCUAGCCCACCUGCGUUAGUUUCCUAUUGUUGCUAUAACAAAUUACCACAAAUGUAGUGGCUUGGAACAAUGCAAAUUUGUCAUCUUACAGUUCUGGAGAUCGGAAGUCCCAGACGGAUCUCACUGGGCUGACAUCAAGGUGUUGGCGGGGCACUCCUGGAGGCUCUAGAGGAGAAUCCGUUUUCUUACCUUUUCCAUCUUAUAGAGGCUGCCCACAUUCAUUCUUUGGCUGUGAUCCCCUUCCCACAGUUGCAUCACUCCAAGAAUAUAAACAAUAUAAAAUCAAAGUAUUUUAGAAGAGUGGCAAAGAGGCUGGAAAGGAGAUAAAUAAUGUUCUAAGGUUCUCUGUACAUCUGCAGCUUCUCUUUAUAGAGAACUUGCUCUCCGUUUCCUUGCACGCGGCUGUGAGACACUGGCGUCCUCAGCUCCAGAGUUCAGAUAACCACCAUUCCAAAAAAUGGCCAGCUGUUUUAGUUUCAGUUACAAAAUCUAAGGAGAAAGCAACUGACUAGCUCAGUUUUUAUCGGAGUCUACUCCUAGUCCAAUCAAGUUUGUCUAGGGGUGGGGUGGCAGAGUGAAAAUGUGGCUUGCAAAUUCUACUCUGUCAGUUAGGAAGGGUGGAGAAUUGUCAGUGAAAGAUGGUUGCUUUGAGCUAAGCAGACACCCCAAAGGUUGUGUAACACGUUCCACCUAUUGGAUGGCAGCACACAGACGAAGGCCUGAUGGUUGGGAGAGGCAGAUUCAAAUCCAUAAGUAUUUAAUACAUGCUGUCAUUCUGGCUUGCUCCAAAUAAGCCAAUGUCAUAAUCUCUGUAGGAACAUGAUUUUGGUUCUAAGAGACCACAGGCCAUAGUUUAGCCCUGUGGUCCCCAAUCUUUUUAAAAUAUUCCUCUCAGUAUGACCUUUUUAAACAUGCACCCAUAAUAUAUGAAUAUGUAAAUAUUUUAUUAAGGCAUUUCAUGUGAACAUUUUUAUACCGUGAACAAACAUGCAAAUAUAAAAUUUUAAAGAGUGAAAUGAACAAGAUUUUUAAAUGUCUUGCUAAUCAUAAUGGCUUCAUAUUAUCAUUGGUGGAUGUAAAUCCAUAUUUCAAAUAGUCGUCUUGAAAUUUUUGAGCCUCCUCGUGUCAAGUCUGGUUACAUCAUCAUUGUUUUCAUCUCAGUAUGUGGCUGACAAGAGUUCGUACCAGAAGUGGACAAGUGUUGGCUCUGCCGUUUUCUUGUAUUUCAGUUGUACUUUCAUUAUUAGUAUCAGUUAUUUACCAUGGUUUCUUAGGAUUCUUUUUAAGACACUCAGGCGUUUUGUGAUGGUUAGCUUAGUUAAAACUGGAAAAUAUAAUCUAUGAGUUGAUGUAACUGGACUCUCAAACUGCCAGCUGUCAUAAUAUACUAUCACGUGAAGUGUAUUAAGUGCCUGUGUGAGGGAUCCCUUUAGAAUCCUCUGCAUUGGAGGGGGAAUCCCCCUCUUUCCUCAGGAUUGCCCUCAGUGAGAGGGAUUAUGUAGAAAGUGAAAGAAGUUAAUGAUUCAAAGCUCCUCGCUUUCAUGGGCCCCUAAUCCUUUCCAUUCCACUUUCCCCUCUGUCAUACAUCCAUCCUUCGUGUUGGAUGGGUGUUGGACUGGCAGCGGGCAUCUUUUGGGAUCUAAGUGGAAGCUGAAUGGGCUGGUGCAUUUAAUUUGGGUUUAAUGGAAAAGAUGUAUGUGUAAGUUAUCAUUAGCCUUCCUGAUGUAGGAAUGCUUUCCAGGAAUAUUUUUACACUGCCGACUCAUCUAGCUCCUGGGACACGAAGAUGCAAGGCCAGAGGUCAGAUCGUGAUCUGAGUGUGUCCAACCAUGCUGGGUACUAGGAGGAUGGGGGUAGUGGAGGAGAAACAAUUCGAAAUGUAUGGAAUCAGAUACUGUUCUUUAGAGAAUUUGUCUAAAGAGACAUGCAAAAUUAUAAGUGGAAGAUUUGGUUCUCAUUAAUGCCUAGUCAAAAUGGAAGUCUCUACUGGCAGGAAUACACUAAAUAAUGAGGCAUAUAAAAUUAACAACUCACCACACAUUUUUUCUUUCUUUUUUUUUUUUAGAUUGGCACCUGAGCUAACAACUGUUGCAAAUCUUUUUUUUUCUCCCCAAAUCCCCCCAGUAUAUAGUUGUAUAUAUAUAUUUUUUUAGUUGUGGGUCCUUCUAGUUGUGGCAUGUGGGAUACCACCUCAGCGUGGCCUGAUGAGCAGUACCAUGUCUGCACCCAGAGUCCAAACCGGCAAAACCCUGGGCCACCAAAGCAGAGCAUGCAAAGUUAACCACUUGACCACGGGGCCAGCCCCCCAUUUUUUCUCUCCUUAUGAGAAAAAUCACAUGAAAUUGAAAUUUCUGUGUUUCUUUUCUUCUUCUAAAUAACAAUUUGCUUUCAUUCCUUAUUUUGGAUUCAUAAUUUUUUGUUCUUUUUCUUUAAGAAAGCUCCCAAAAUACGGUUGUAUCAGGCCACAAAAAACCUAGAUUCAUGCCUGCCACAUACCUGAGUGACAUGAAACCAUUUGACAUAUGAAUUAAGUAAGAACAAUAGUGUCAAUUCAUAUAUUAAAUAGUCGUUAAACUUAAUUUUUCAAUUUUUUAAAUAAAAAAUAUAAAAGUAUGUGGUCUAAUAUGUUUCCAUAUCUCAGUGAUGAGAUUUGUAUGCUCCCCUUCAGAGACAAUGGGUCAAACCAACUAUUUUGCUAUGGUUGAAUAAGAAAGGCUUGCUGCACGCCUAGAAAAAUGGGGCAUCCCACCCUCCACUGCCUCUCCUUGAAUUGGUCACUCACACAUUUCAAGCACUGCACUUCUGUCACCAAGUUCUGUUAGACUGAACCAUAUAAAAUUGUAGUUUUUAUAGGUCAAAAAUGGUCUAACAUUGGAAAAUUCAUAGGUUCACCAUAGUAUAUCAUUUAGGAUGCAUUCAGCUGCAUGUAAAAGAAACAAGACUCAAAUUGACAUAAACAAUAAGGAAACAUAUUGUGAGGAUAUUGGUGAACUCACAAAAUUGACUAAAAGGCUUUAGAAGCAAGUUUGGAAAACAGGCAGAAACCAAAGAAGGCAAAGUAGAGGUUUGAGACCCAACUCUGUCAUUUUGACCCAACUGUGCCAUUUUGAGCAAGAGUUACUUAACCUCAAUGGGACCUGUUGAAAAAAAUGGGGAUAAUAAUAUCUACCUCAAAUGGAGCAUUAGGUUAAGGAUGAGAGGAAUGGAAAGGGGCCAACAAUUAUUGAGCAUAGAGUAAUGUGUGCCAGUCCCUGAGAUGAAUGCUUUAUAUGCAUCAACUCAAAUUAGAAAGUAUAUGUACAGUGUGGGGGAUGGGGGAGUUGGUAAUCCUUAGAAGCACAGAUAUCACUUUAGCAUUCUCUGGGAGGAUGUGUCAGUCACAACCUAGCAGGAAAGAGAUGGCACACUCAACGGGAAAAAUGGAGGAGAAUUUAAUGGAGUAACCAUUUAUGAGGGUGUGGGCAGAGUUAGGAGACACCAAUAAAGGAUGAUGAAGCACUGUAGGGCAAGCCUGGAGGGACAAAGGAGUAGUCAGCAACUAAAACUCAGGAAGAGACGUGUGAGAGCAGGUGCCCGACUCUGCUGUGGCCUGCCGUGGAGGCACAGUGCAGAGCACCCGGAAAACAAAGACCUGAUAUUACUCCUCUCUCGACCUUAGACCUCCUAGUAGGGCCUCCCAUCAGUUAAACCCAACUGGAAGUCAGAGGGAAAGAGGUACCAUUGAUAUGGUCCAAGAAGGUCACCCACUGGGGCAGAGAGCAGGGUGGAAAAGGGUGGAAAGUGGAUUCGCAGGGGCAGAGGAGAAUAUCUAGCACAGAAAGUGUAGAAAUGAGCAAAGUUACCUCGUAUAUAUGUUCUCUUGUGGGAUCAGAAAGAUUUAAUCCACCUGUUUGGAGACCAGGGACUUCAGAGAAAGGAUCUUUCUAGGCUGGGCUUACAUCAGAACCUGCCUUGUUCUAAAUUCUAGCUCAAGGGUGAUGAGAUUAGAGUGUGUUAGUCAACUCUGAUUAAGCCUUCCACAAGGCCAAUUCAGUGAUUAAAUUAACAGUGAGCACUUACACCAGUUUUUAAAAAUGUCUGCUCGUCACUCAAAGUCAAGAAGAAAUGUUGCAUCUCAAGAGCUAGGUAAGCUGUUAUGGAGCAUGGGUUCUGACUAGCAAGCUGCUGUAUCCCAAACUCCAUCUCAUUUUCAUGGAUCCUCCCCAAAUUAAGCUAAUCCUGCCACUCACCCCUUUUUCUGUAUGUGGUCUCUCUUCUUCAGUAAACAAUCCCGAUUACAUGGGGCCAGGAAUGGAACUACCUAGAUCAAGUUACAAACUCUGCACUAGCCUCCAACAGCAUUAAGAUGGGCCUUGGAAGCAAGCAGAGCUGAAGAAAAGAAGUUAUAGGUCCUUCUAGUUCUGCUAUAUGGGACCCCACCUCAGCAUGGCCGGAUGACCAGAUGAGUGGUGCUAGGUAACGAUCAGUGGAGGGUUGACUGAGCUCCCAGGACUCCAACUCCACCAGCCUCCCAGGUGACGUCCUGAGACAGUGCUUCUCAGACCCUCCUCCUCAGGUUCGGUGGGCAUGCCCUCGAGGGAUAAUAAGUGUACCCCAAAAGCACCAGUCCUAAAUGCGUAGCCUGAUGAAUUAUUGCAUAUGUAUCCCCUUGUGUCAUCACCACCCAGAUCAGGAUAAAGAAAACUUCCAGCACCUCACAAGAGUCCCUCUUGCUUCUUCCCAGUCUGCAUCCCAACCCAACGGGAGGUAAUCACUAUCCUCACUUCUGUUGUCAUUGACUAGUUUUGCCUGUUCUUAAACUUUGUAUAAGUGGAACCAUACAAUAUGCAUUCUUUUAAAUGUGGCUUCUUUCACUUAGCUUAAUACCUAUGAGAUUCAUCAUGUUGUUGCAUGUACCAGUAGUUUGUUUUUUUCUUUUCUUUUUAGCUCAUAGCUAUAUUCUUUCCCCACCCAGUUUUACUGAGAAAUAAUUGACAUUCAUCACUGUAUGUUGUUUCUAACUGCUUUGUAGUAUUCUAUUUUAUGCAUACACCACAAUUUAUCUAUUCUUCCAUUGAUGGGCAUUGAGUGGUUUCCAGUUUGGCUAACAUGAAUACAGCUGUGAUGAACAUUCUUAUGCACAUCCUUUGUGAACAUAUAUACCCAUUUCUCUUGGGUAAAUUCCUAGAACUGGAAUUGCUAUCACGGGGUCAGCUACAUUUAGCUUUAGCAGAAACUGCAAAUUUGCUUACAAAAUGGUUACACUAUUUAUAUUUCCAUCAGCAACGCAUAAGAAUCCCAGUUCAUCCACAUCCUUGUCAUCAUUUGCACUGUUGAUCCUCUUAAUUUUAGCCAUUCUGGUUGGUGUCUAGUGGUAUUUCAUUGUGGUUUUAACUUGCAUUUCCCUAAUGAGUAAUGACACUGAGCACAUUUUCAUAUGCUUAAUGGAUGUUUGGAUGUCUUAUUUUGUGAAAUGCCUGCUCAAGUCUUAUAUCCGCUUUUAGGUGAGUUCUUCAUUUUUUUCUUAUUGAUUUGUAGGAGUAAUUUACAUAUUCCUAACAUGUCUUUUGUCAGAAAUAUGUACUGUGAAUAACUUCUCCAUUGUGUGAUUUGUCUUUUUAUUCUCUUAAUGGUAUAUUCUAAUGAAAUAACUUUAAUGAAGUCCA
rnacentral:lncRNA from 1 species